rnacentral:rRNA from 1 species
CAGUCGCCGCGGGAACACGGAGGAUCCAAGCGUUAUCCGGAAUCAUUGGGUUUAAAGGGUCCGUAGGCGGUCUUGUAAGUCAGUGGUGAAAGCCCAUCGCUCAACGGUGGAACGGCCAUUGAUACUGCAGGACUUGAAUUAUUGGGAAGUAACUAGAAUAUGUAGUGUAGCGGUGAAAUGCUUAGAGAUUACAUGGAAUACCAAUUGCGAAGGCAGGUUACUACCAAUUGAUUGACGCUGAUGGACGAAAGCGUGGGUAGCGAACAGGAUUAGAUACCCCGGUAGUCCCUGUCUCUUAUAC